AAAUGUGAGGGUGAUCUGGCUGCGACAUCUGUCACCCCAUUAAUCGCCAGGGUUGAUUCGGCUGAUCUGGCUGGCUAGGCGGGUGUCCCCUUCCUCCCUCACCGCUCCAUGUGCAUCCCUCCCAAAGCUGCAUGCUCGGUGGAAGAGGACAACCAUCCCAGAUAGAAGGAGUGUACCAUUCUUUGGUCAAGGGUAUACAAUAGCUGCACUCCCCUGCUAGAACCUCCAAACCAGCUCGAGGGAUUAAUUGCCAUAUCUCCUCUCAGGUAGGCAUUGGUACUCAAGCAGUGAGAUGCCAUACCUCACCUCUGGAAAAUUAACUCCAGGA